rnacentral:lncRNA from 1 species
GGACAAUGGAGGCCGAAGUCACCAGCGCUUCUGCUUCCGGUUUGUCUCCGGAGUCAUGGCGACCACAAGGGGACUGACAUUAAGUAGAUGGCGCCGGAGCCGUCGAGUGGAUCCCCAACAUCGUCCUCCAGGUCUCACUGCCCUCAUUCCCAGCGUGACCCACGUAAUAACAAGUCCGAUUUUCUGGGGAAGAAGCCCCACCGGCAGCACCCUGGCAUCGUGCAGCUUCCGCACGUGCGGCUGCCACAGAGAGCACGGUGUCCAGUGUAGAGGAGAAGGGACUCACCUCCAGUCCUCCUUCUCACUCCAGGCUCACCUCAGACAGAGAAGAAACUCCUCAGAGCUGUGCCAUGUGCCCUGCACAGAGUCACUGACAGGAACUGAGCUAUAA